GACGAACGCUGGCGGCGUGCUUAACACAUGCAAGUCGAACGGAAAGGCCCUGCUUUUGUGGGGUGCUCGAGUGGCGAACGGGUGAGUAACACGUGAGUAACCUGCCCUUGACUUUGGGAUAACUUCAGGAAACUGGGGCUAAUACCGGAUAGGAGCUCCUGCUGCAUGGUGGGGGUUGGAAAGUUUCGGCGGUUGGGGAUGGACUCGCGGCUUAUCAGCUUGUUGGUGGGGUAGUGGCUUACCAAGGCUUUGACGGGUAGCCGGCCUGAGAGGGUGGCCGGCCACAUUGGGACUGAGAUACGGCCCAGCCUCCUCCGGGAGGCAGCAGUGGGGAAUAUUGCACAAUGGGCGGAAGCCUGAUGCAGCCCCGCCGCGUGCGGGAUGACGGCCUUCGGGUUGUAAACCGCUUUCGCCUGUGACGAAGCGUGAGUGACGGUAAUGGGUAAAGAAGCACCGGCUAACUACGUG
rnacentral:rRNA from 1 species